rnacentral:rRNA from 1 species
GCAAAUAAGUGCAGAUGGUGGAUGCCUUGGUAUGGAAUGACGAUGAAGGACGUAGCAGCCUGCGAUAAGCCUCGGUGAGGUGGCAAGCAACCUUUGACCCGGGGAUAUCCGAAUGGGGUAACCCAAUCUGAUGGAAGAUCAGAUUAUCAGCCGCUGAAUUCAUAGGCGGUUAGAAGACAACCUGGGGAAGUGAAACAUCUCAGUACCCAGAGGAAGAGAAAACACCGAUACGUGGUUCUGUUGCUAUCACUCGCGCAAACGUUUGUGAGUGGUAGUAGCAGUGCCACAUAAUUCCCGGAGUAGUGGCGAGCGAAACGGGACCAGCCCAAACUUAGAGUAGCGUCUUGAGAGUGAAUGAUUCUCAAGGGGAGAAUUAGAAAUCAAAACUUUCCUAGUCGAAUGGCCUGGAACGGCCAGCCAAAGAAGGUGACAGCCCUGUAGGCGAAAGGAGUUUUGGGCUCCUAGUUAUUAUUCUUGAGUACCACGGGACUCGUGAAAUCCAGUGGGAAGCAAGCGCGACUAUGCGUUAAGGCUAAAUACAUUCCAUAACCGAUAGUGAACUAGUACCGUGAGGGAAAGGUGAAAAGCACCCCGGUGAGGGGGAUGAAAUAGUACCUGAAACCAUCUGCUUACAAGGAGUCAGAGCGCUUACCACUUCAGCGUAACGAGCUGUAGGCGAACCUACGCUGAAGUGGUGCGUGAUGGCGUGCCUAUUGAAGAAUGAGCCAACGAGUUAGCUGGUAGUAGCUGAUUAAGUCCUACGGGACGUAGUCAAAGUGAAAGCGAGGCUUAACAGCCGUACUGAGUUUGAAAAGCGAUGCGUGUAUUUUCACGCCGCGCUUUUCUUACUCAAAAGCUGCUAUCACUAGACCCGAAACCGGGUGACCUAGCCAUGACCAGGGUGAAGCACAGGUAACACUGUGUGGAGGCCCGAACCCACGCGCCGUGCAAAACGCGGGGAUGAGUUGUGGCUCGCAGAGAAAUUCUAAUCGAACUCGGUAAUAGCUGGUUCUCCUCGAAAUAGUUUUAGGACUAGCCUGUUCCAUCGUUCCUGAUGGUAGAGCACUGAAUGGGUUUCCAUGGCGUAAGCCUAGGCGAUCCAACCAAACUCCGAAUGUCAGGAAACGUAAGGAAUGGAGUCAGAGCGUGAGGGCUAAGCUUCACCGCUCAAAAGGGAAACAGCCCAUGAUCACCAAAUAAGGUCCCUAAAUUUCAGCUAAGUGUUAAAGGCGGUCUCGUCGCUUAAACAACCAGGAGGUUGGCUUAGAAGCAGCCACCCUUUAAAGAAAGCGUAACAGCUCACUGGUCUAGCGCUGGGGCGCCGAAAAUGUACCGGGGCUAAAGCUGAAUACCGAAUUUGUGGGCCCGUCGUAAGACGGGCGGUAGAGGAGCGUCCUCUGCUGCCGUGAAGCCCCAGCCGUGAGGCGGGGUGGAGCGCAGAGGAGUGCGAAUGUUGGCAUAAGUAGCAAAAAGACUAGUGAAAACCUAGUCCACCGUAAACCUAAGGUUUCCUGGGCAACGCAAAUCGACCCAGGGUGAGGCGGGCCUAAGGCGAGGCUGAAAAGCGUAGCCGAUGGACAGCAGGUUAAUAUUCCUGCCCCGCCAUUAAGUUUCAAUGGGGUGACGUCGUUUUUAAGGUUCUGCGCGAUUUGGUUAUGCGCGUGUACCGUGAAGCCGUGCCUGGUAGGUAAAUCCGCCAGGAUAAUCGGCAGGCGCGGGACGUAGGGAAAGGGGCAACCCCGACCCGACAGAACUGGCGAGACGGCCUAGAAAAACCUCUAGAGUUAACUUAAUGGUGACCGUACCGGAAACCGACACAGGUGGGUGAGGCGAGUAGCCUCAGGUGUACGAGAGAACCCUUGUUUAGGAACUCGGCAAUACAACGGCCGUAACUUCGGAAUAAGGCCUACCCGUCGCAAGACGGGUCGCAGUAAAAGACGUCAACCGACUGUUUAUCAAAAACACAGGUCCCUGCAAAGCCGCAAGGCAACGUAUAGGGGCUGAUGCCUGGCCAGUGUCAGAACGUUAAGGCAAGAGGUCAUUCCGCCGCAAGGCGGAGGCAGCCUUGAACUGAAGCGCUGAUGAACGCCGGCGGUAACUAUAACCGUCCUAAGGUAGCGAAAUUCCUUGUCGGGUAAGUUCCGACCUGCACGAAUGGCAUAACGAGUUGACGACUGUCUCAACAAGGGACUCGGUGAAAUUGCAAGACCCGUGAAGAUGCGGGUUACCCACGGCUAGACGAAAAGACCCCGUGAAGCUUUACUACAACUUGGUAUUGAGCAUUAUAAGUGCUUGCUCAGCAUAGGUGGGACGCUUUGAAGCCCUGACUCCGGUUGGGGCUGAGCGGAAAUAUGAGAUACCACCCUGGCGGUUUUAGUGUUCUAACCUCAUGCCGUUAUCCGGCUGAGGGACAGUAUCUGGCAGGUAGUUUGACUGGGGCGGUCGCCUCCUAAAAUGUAACGGAGGCGUUUACUAAGGUUGGCUAGCUCCCGAUGGAAACGGGAGUGAUAGGGCAAACCCACAAGCCAGCUUUACUGCAAGGGCUACAACCCGAGCAGUUGCGAAAGCAGAAGUUAGUGAUCCGACGAUCCAAUAUAGGAUGGUCGAAGCUCAACGGAUAAAAGUUACUCCGGGGAUAACAGGCUGAUCGGGUCCAAGAGUCCACAUCGACGACCCGGUUUGGCACCUUACGAUGUCGGCUCAUCGCAUCCUGGGGCUGGAGAAGGUCCCAAUGGUUUGGCUGUUCGCCAAUUAAAGCGGUACGCGAGCUGGGUUCAGAACGUCGUGAGACAGUUCGGUCUCCUGUCUGUCGUGGGCGUGCGAAACUUGAGAAGGCUCUUCCCUAGUACGAGAGGACCGGGAAGAACGAACCUCUAGUGCACCAGUUGGUCUACCAAGGCCAUCGCUGGGUAGCUACGUUCGGCGCGGAUAAACGCUGAAAGCAUCUAAGCGUGAAGCCGUCUUCAAGAUUAGGUUUCGUUGAGGAACCAGAGAGAACAUCUGGUUGAUAGGUGGUAGGUGUAAGGCCCGUAAGGGUUUAAGCCGAGCCAUACUAAUCGUCCGAUGGUUUAACC